GUAAGAAUCACACUUCCGUUCUGUGGAGAAGACAACUGUGUAAAGGUAUUAGUUAUGAUUUUCUGACGCAUUUUCUUAAUAUGAGGAUAUUGUUUAGUCACUUUAAUGGAGUCCAGGAAGUUGGUGGUAAGGUCUUUUAGAAAGUCGUGGCAUGUCACCCGCUUCUAGAAAAUAGUAGCACGGACUCAGUUGAGAAACGGACAAAUGACUGUGUGACGGUAUCUAAGCUUUGUUCAACCUGCAAAGAACUGUGUGACAGAGCUCUGCCAUUAGGCCUUCUCUUGCCAUAUUUCACAUACGAAAAGGCUGAUGUUUAAAUUGUUCUUUAUCUGACCAGAAGUGCCAGGAAGUCAAUGUUAGGGAUUAAGAAAGAAAAUGGAUAACAUCUCAUAACCCUAAAUCUUCUUCAUGGUGUCUGGGGGAGGUAUGGCGAGAGUGAAUAUGUUACUUCAAUAUUUCGAUAUGAUAGUGAUAUUACCUUGUUUAAGUACUCCCAGGUUAUGAAUGUGAAUAAUCUUGCACCUGUUAUGAACUGAAUGAUUUAAUCUUCUUUGAAUGUGCGAGAGAGUGUGUUAGUUAGUGAGGUUUUGUCCCCAGUUCAGGAAGGUUGGAUAGUCGCUUCCUGGAUUGGUAUUUUGUAUUAUUUUUUGAGAGUGAUAUAAUUGUGUGCUUUAUUAAAUAUUAAAGUAGUAGUAUUAUUCAUCAA